rnacentral:rRNA from 1 species
ACGGGGUGCAGCAGGCGCGAAAACUUUGCAAUGUGCGAAAGCACGACAAGGUUAAUCCGAGUGGUUUCUGCUAAAGGAACCUUUUGACAGUCCUAGAAACACUGUUGAAUAAGGGGUGGGCAAGUUCUGGUGUCAGCCGCCGCGGUAAAACCAGCACCUCAAGUGGUCAGGAUGAUUAUUGGGCCUAAAGCAUCCGUAGCCGGCUCAGUAAGUUUUCGGUUAAAUCUGUACGCUCAACGUACAGGCUGCCGGGAAUACUGCAGAGCUAGGGAGUGGGAGAGGUAGACGGUACUCGGGAGGAAGUGGUAAAAUGCUUUGAUCUUUCGAUGACCACCUGUGGCGAAGGCGGUCUACCAGAACACGUCCGACGGUGAGGGAUGAAAGCUGGGGGAGCAAACCGGAUUAGAUACCCGGGUAGUCCCAGCUGUAAACUAUGCAAACUCAGUGAUGCAUUGGCUUGUGGCCAAUGCAGUGUUGCAGGGAAGCCGUUAAGUUUGCCGCCUGGAAGUACGUACG